rnacentral:misc_RNA from 1 species
UUCCGUUAUUCACAAACGACGCCAUUUUGGUUGUUACUGCUGCACUUUGUUUCCACGUCUGUGUUUGCAUUUUGCUCUUUAUCCCGCACGUAUCGCACGUUCUGCACGAUGUAUGCCACUGUUGCUUUGGUUUAUCAUCAAGCCCAGGACGAUCUCCACAGGUUUAGGAACUACCAGGCCCCCGUCUCCCAAAAGACUCUUCCUGUCCCUGAUCCUUUCAGAUAUGUCAGUCGUGGGAGGGAUACAGACAAGUACCGGAUUCUAGAGUCACGAUGUGACAGACAAUGCCGAGCGAGGGAUGUUUCACAGCCGCUAUCGUAUCUCGCGAUCUCGAGACCAUGUACAAGAUUUUUAAGUUCAGUGAUUACAUAAUAAACUCCUUAUUGAACUUUA